AGCUGCGUGGUGGGCGCAAAGCGAACUAUUCUUUCGCCUUUUACUAAAGAAUACCGUGUGCCCGUCACCUCAAAGCAGCAUACUCCAAUUUUUGUAGGGCUUCCUCCUUUAUAGGAAGU
rfam:Musa acuminata subsp. malaccensis Doubled-haploid Pahang (DH-Pahang) genomic chromosome, chr2